CGGGGCGGGGCCUAAUAAUGCAAGUCGGACGGGAUCCAUCGGUAGCUUGCUACCGAUGGUGAGAGUGGCGCACGGGUGCGUAACGCGUGAGCAACCUGCCCAUAUCAGGGGGAUAGCCCGGAGAAAUCCGGAUUAACACCGCAUGACACUGCUUUCCGGCAUCGGGAGGCGGUCAAAUAUUCAUAGGAUAUGGAUGGGCUCGCGUGACAUUAGCUAGUUGGUGGGGUAACGGCCCACCAAGGCGACGAUGUCUAGGGGCUCUGAGAGGAGAAUCCCCCACACUGGUACUGAGACACGGACCAGACUCCUACGGGAGGCAGCAGUAAGGAAUAUUGGUCAAUGGGGGCAACCCUGAACCAGCCAUGCCGCGUGCAGGACGACUGCCCUAUGGGUUGUAAACUGCUUUUGUUAGGGAAUAAACCCCGCUACGUGUAGCGGGCUGAAUGUACCUAAAGAAUAAGGAUCGGCUAACUCCGUGCCAGCAGCCGCGGUAAUAUAA
rnacentral:rRNA from 1 species